GGUCGAUGAUGAGCUGGCAUGUAUUCUGAAUCUGAAGUUGAUUAUUACUACUUUAGCUCUAGAAUUACUCUGAGACCUG
rnacentral:snoRNA from 2 species